UAUAAAUAAAAAUAGUGGUGACACAAGGAAAUAAAUACACAGUGAAUAACAAAUAACAAUGACGGGGAAAAAAUAGCAUGGUUAUAUACAGGAAGUACCAGGUUAUAACAUGUCUAUAUACAGGAAGUACCAGGUAAUAACAUGGCUAUAUACAGGAAGUACCAGGUAAUAACAUGGCUAUAUACAGGGAGUUCUGGAGGCAAAAGAAACGCACACCUGUUUAGGAGAGGUGCUGGCUAGCAGAGUAGAACACCUGUUUAGGAGAGGUGCUGGAUAGCAGAGUAGAACACCUGGUUAGGAGAGGUGCUGGCUAGCAGAGUAGAACACCUGUUUAGGAGAGGUGCUGGCUAGCAGAGUAAAACACCUGGUUAGGAGAGGUGCUGGCUAGCAGAGUAGAACACCUGGUUAGGAGAGGUGCUGGCUAGCAGAGUAGAACACCUGGUUAGGAGAGGUGCUGGCUAGCAGAGUAGAACAACUGUUUAGGAGAGGUGCUGGCUAGCAGAGUAGAACACCUGGUUAGGAGAGGUGCUGGCUAGCAGAGUAGAACACCUGGUUAGGAGAGGUGCUGGCUAGCAGAGUAGAACACCUGUUUAGGAGAGGUGCUGGCUAGCAGAGUAGAACACCUGUUUAGGAGAGGUGCUGGCUAGCAGAGUAGAACACCUGUUUAGGAGAGGUGCUGGCUAGCGGAGUAGAACACUUGAAUAAGAAAAGGAGAGCUGCACACUCUUGGAGCUCAGAUACAAUAAUUUAAUAACCAACGUUUCGAAGGAGUACCAGCACCGAGUCGAUGUGCAGUGGAACGAGGUAAUUGAGGUAACUGUUUACAUAUAGGUCCAGGGUAAAGUAACUAGGCAACAGGAUAGAUGAUUGACAGUAGCAGCAGCGUAUUGUGAUGAGUCAAAAGCAGAUAGUGAAAAAUAGGUAAAAGCACAUAGUUAAAUAAAUAGCUACCCAGACUAACUAUUUAGCAGCCUUAUGGUUGGGGGGUAGAAGCUGUUCGGUAUCCUGUUG
rnacentral:lncRNA from 1 species